UACGUAGGGUGCGAGCGUUAAUCGGAAUUACUGGGCGUAAAGCGUGCGCAGGCGGUUAUGUAAGACAGAUGUGAAAUCCCCGGGCUCAACCUGGGAACUGCAUUUGUGACUGCAUAGCUAGAGUACGGUAGAGGGGGAUGGAAUUCCGCGUGUAGCAGUGAAAUGCGUAGAUAUGCGGAGGAACACCGAUGGCGAAGGCAAUCCCCUGGACCUGUACUGACGCUCAUGCACGAAAGCGUGGGGAGCAAACAGGG
rnacentral:rRNA from 1 species